rnacentral:rRNA from 1 species
ACGUAGGAGACAAACGUUAUCCGGAGUUACUGGGCGUAAAGGGCGUGUAGGCGGUUUGUUAAGUCUGGCGUGAAAGCUCUCGGCUAAACCGGGAGAGGUCGUUGGAUACUGGCAAACUAGAGGAUGGUAGAGGCGUGUGGAAUUCCGGGUGUAGUGGUGAAAUGCGUAGAGAUCCGGAGGAACACCAGUGGCGAAGGCGACACGCUGGGCCAUACCUGACGCUAAAGCGCGACAGCAUGGGGAGCAAACGGG